AGGGUUCGAUUCUGGCUCAGAUUGAACGCUGGCGGCAUGCCUACACAUGCAAGUCGAACGGCAGCACGGGGGCAACCCUGGUGGCGAGUGGCGAACGGGUGAGUAAUGCAUCGGAACGUGCCCAGUAUGGGGGACAACCAGUCGAAAGAUUGGCUAAUACCGCAUACGACCUAUGGGUGAAAGCGGGGGGACCGUAAGGCCUCGCGCUAUUGGAGCGGCCGAUGUCUGAUUAGCUAGUUGGUGAGGUAAAGGCUCACCAAGGCGACGAUCAGUAGCUGGUCUGAGAGGACGACCAGCCACACUGGGACUGAGACACGGCCCAGACUCCUACGGGAGGCAGCAGUGGGGAAUUUUGGACAAUGGGCGCAAGCCUGAUCCAGCCAUGCCGCGUGCGGGAAGAAGGCCUUCGGGUUGUAAACCGCUUUUGGCAGGAACGAAACGGCGACCCCUAAUAAGGGUCGUUAAUGACGGUACCUGCAGAAUAAGCACCGGCUAACUACGUGCCAGCAGCCGC
rnacentral:rRNA from 1 species